AUUGUCAUUUUCAGGAAGAAUGGAGUUCAGGCGAUGGUGGAAUUUGACUCAGUUCAAAGUGCCCAGCGGGCCAAGGCCUCUCUCAAUGGGGCUGAUAUCUAUUCUGGCUGUUGCACUCUGAAGAUCGAAUACGCAAAGCCUACACGCUUGAAUGUGUUCAAGAAUGAUCAGGAUACUUGGGACUACACAAACCCCAAUCUCAGUGGACAAGCUGAGAGGCCAGAGCCCCCCAUUCCUAGGCAGGCCUGUCUUGCUCGCCCUUGCAUCUGGGAAGCAGUGGGCAGGGUGGGCUAGACUCUUCCCCAGGAUCCUCACAGUGGGCCCUGUGGGCCUGGCUGCUCCCUCCAAAGGUCAGAGGCAAAUUGGUGACCAAGUGAAUGUACCAGAGCGGGCAAUGGCAUUACAUGACUGCUAACAGAAACAUGGCAACAACCAUUUCUUCUCCAAGGAACAUAAAUAGAAGAUGUGCAGACCGGCAGGGGCUAGUGGCAGGGGGCUGGCUGUGCAUUGGUUUUGAUGCCUCUCAGCUUUGGCAGCCCCAAGGCUGGGGCCCAAAAAAAAACGAGGGCUGAUGAGGUGACCUGGAGUGAGGGCGGUGCUUCGCCACCCCUCAGGAACCAUACUUCAGCGGCUCUGCCUCUGCACAUUGCUCACCAACACACAGGGUAGAAAACCACUAGCUCUUCCUGGAGAGAACAGAACAUGCAGCCUCCACCACGUCCCCAGAAACAGCCGCAGACUUGAGCUCACUACAUCAAGAACACCACACCGCGCUCCAAGGAACAGCUACAAGCACAGAGACAGAGGCAUACAGAGACAAAGAGAGAAAGAGACGCAACAUGGCAGCAGACACUGCUUUUUUUAUUAAACAUUAAAAAAAAGGUCAAAAUCCAAGCAAACUUGAACCCGAGAAUGUACACAGAAGUAGGAAACACAGAGAACAGAGCUGUCCCAGCCAGCCAGCGAGCGAUGCUCUUUUCGGAGAACGUUUCAUAGACGGAAGUAGAUUCCAUGGGCCUCCAAGACAAUAGGAUCCUCUCUCCAUUCCUCGCCAUAUGGGUUUUGUUUUUUAAGUCAUUUGGUUUGGGGAGGGCCUUGUUUUUUUUCUGUUUUGAUAUUUUUAUUUUUUCUGCAGUCACCGGCUGCCAACAUAAUCUGCACCAACUGGAGAUCAGAAACCAAAAAAAAAAAAAAAAAUUUUAACCACAACAAAAAAAAAAUCAAAAAAACCAAAACAGACCUAAAACCAGACAGCCAAACAGCUCAGAGGCACACAGUUACCUGCUGCCGGGUAACCAGGCGCGCUCCCAAGGCCAAAAGCGCGAGCGUAGUGGGGCCACUGGCACACCUCAUACCAGGAGACACGCACACGGAGCGCUACACAGCCAGAAGCACCGCACCACCGCACUGCAGCACAUAUGUGAGGAGGUGACAACAUGGAGGGACACUACCCACUUCAUACACCUUUAUUUCCACUUUUCUGAUAUCUUCUGAGGACAGAACAUCUGUGAGCCAUUUUUGAUUUAAUCAAAAUAUUGACUUUUAAAACAAUUCUUUAAAAAAAUUGUAGCGGAUGUGUACCGUGACUUGUAUUUAUGACUGUAAAACCAUGUGAUGCAGGGUCGCAGUGUAUGUUUGAUGGGACGCCAUCUUUCAGAACUGUGCUAACUCACUGUUGAAGCGUCCAAUGGUAAGAGAAAAUACAGAUUUGUUUUUUGUGACAAAUGGACAUUGUACUCUGUACUUCUGCUGUAAGUAGUCCUUUUCCAUUUUGUAAUGACUGGUAACAAAACCCAGGCCGGGUGGCAGGAAAGGGCAGUGGUUUCGAGCCCUGGGUUUUGGAGUCAGCCAGACCUGGGUUCAAAUAUGGCUCAGCCACUGUCUUGCUUUGUGACUUUGGGCCAAAGUGUCUUUUAACUGCUCAGUUAAAAGUUAACAACUCAGUCUUCUUAUCUGUAAAAUGGGGCUGAAAUAUCAGAACCUACCUCAUAGGGUUGUUGUGAGGAAUUUCAGAAGCUGUGAUGUCUGUAAAGCGCUUAGCCCAGUGCCUGCCACUUAAGCGCUAAGUUAAAGGCAGUGAUUACGAACUGCUGGGGUCGGGGUGGAUCUGCGCCAUUGCUGGGUGUGGGAAUGUCGAUGCCUUGUACAUGAUUGCUUAUUUGAACUGAUUCUGCUGUUGCCCUGCUUGUCAGCUACAGUCAGUCCCUCUUGGGCUGGCGGGACUGGGAGGGAGGGGGGACUGGGAUUAAGAAAGAAGGGAUCUAACAGAGACAGUCUGGAGCUCCUAGAACUUUGGGGGCUUUGGGGGUCAAACUUGCUUGCUUCCCUCUGGGGUUAUUUUCCUCUUAAUCUACUCUCCCUUCAUUGGGAGUCACUUUAGAAAGCUGCUUUUGGCCCGCCAUAAUAUAUCAGCUUCUGUAGCAGCUGCACAUUCCCCAGAGGGCCUGGGAGCUGGGCUUUCUCCCAGGGCCAGGGUAGGUGAGAGCACAGAAUCUGGCCUUGUCCUUCACAGAACAAGGCCAGCCCUUUGGUAUGAGCAGGGGAAGGAGAGUGGGCACCAGCUUUGAGGCUCGGGCUUCAUGCCCGCCGUAGGUCAGAUCACAAAAGGAGGCCCCACAGCCCUCGAGGAAGGGAGGGCUUGCAGUUGGCAGGAGCUGGGGGCUCAGAUCAGCCUGUGCAGUCAGGAGGGAGGGAGAGACCCCAAUUUCUGAGUGAGACUCCUAACUGUUUUCUCUCUCCACAGG
rnacentral:lncRNA from 1 species